AAGACCUUGCACUUUUGGAGCGGCCGAUGUCUGAUUAGCUAGUUGGUGGGGUAAUGGCCUACCAAAGCUUCGAUCAGUAGCUGGUCUGAGAGGACGGCCAGCCACACUGGGACUGAGGCACGGCCCAGACUCCUACGGGAGGCAGCAGUGGGGAAUUUUGGACAAUGGGCGCAAGCCUGAUCCAGCCAUGCCGCGUGAGUGAAGAAGGCCUUCGGGUUGUAAAGCUCUUUCAGCCGGGAAGAAAAGGUUGCGACUAAUAAUCGCAAUUCAUGACGGUACCGAAAGAAGAAGCACCGGCUAACUACGUGCCAGCAGCCGCGGUAAUACGUAGGGUGCGAGCGUUAAUCGGAAUUACUGGGCGUAAAGGGUGCGCAGGCGGUUUUGUAAGUCAGAUGUGAAAUCCCCGGGCUUAACCUGGGAACU
rnacentral:rRNA from 1 species